UUCCUUGAACAGUGUGCACUUGAGGAACGAAUUAAGACCCGUAAACAAGGAUGAAAGCCCCCGCCCCGCAGACUUCAGCUCCUCCUCCAUGAAGGACGCCGCCUGGGAGGUGAGUCCAGGCCGGGCCAGGGAGGGCCUCCUGUGGGAAGGUGCAUUUUCACCUUACAGCCGGGAAGUAGACAGCUGCGUCACAGUUUCACUCAUGCCGGUCUCUUCCUGUGCACAUUCAAUGUUAACAUUAUUCUGGCAAAAGCCUUGCUGCAGAUAGUCUCUCCGGUCCCUCCUACAUCUCUUUCCAGAAGACAGUUUAAAAGGACACAUUUCAUCACCUCUCAGAAGGGGUUAACAUCACAGAAUUCCAAGUCUGAGGGUGGAGCCCUGAUCCUGAGAAGGUUUUGUUGAGUUCGGGACAGUAUUUCUUUACCCAUCCUUCAUGAAGAUAAAAAAUGAGGCAAAAUAGACACUAAAAUGGUCUCUGACAUCUCCUCAUGCCACCAGACAAGGAGUAACCAUGGUAACAAGAAGCCUAGAAAAAUUGGGGAAUGAGGAAGACCAGGAAUGAGAGCUCCCCUCAGCCCUGGGGGGACCUGAGUGUCCACAGCUGAGCCUUCUCUGCUUCCCUUUUCUCUUCUGGAUUCUGAUGGAGGAUAUUUUCAUCUUCCUCCCAAAAUCAUCAGAAAGCAUAAGGACAUAUAUAAACCGCUUUGCAAAAAGAGAGUGUAUGGAAUAAAAGAGAAAAUGAAGAAGAGGAGAAAGGCUGGAGUGCAAUGGUGUGAUCUCAGCUCACUGCAGCCUCAACCUCCCUGGCUCAGGUGAUUCUCCCACCUCAGCUUCCUGAUUAACUGGGAUUACAGUAAUGGUGAAAUUGCCGGUAAUCGCUAAGUAAAAACCACUGAAGAACAGGACAGAAGCCAAUGACCACCUCACCUCCACCGAGUGCCCUGCAGAAAAAGGAAAUGGAAAUCCUUCCUGUUAUUCUCCGCGUCCCUUCGUAGAAGGCUGCCUGAGAGAAAGGAUGGUUUCCUUGAAGUCUAGAAAAUUUUGUUCCAGUCCAUUUCAACGGUGCAGGAGAAACGUGGCUUCCAUUCCGAGGAAGACGGCGACACCUAGUGACCGUUCCCUCGCGGUGCGAUGGCCUCACACCUGUGCGGCGGGUCGUCCGGGGCGUAGGGUGCUGCGGCCUUGCGGUCUUCCCUGCGCUGCAAGGCAGGGCAUGGUGGCAGAUUAACACCUGGAUGAACACGGGCAGGUCAGGAGACAAAUAAAACCCAGAGGUCUUUGAAACUUCAAAAUCCCGUAGGGUGUGUGACCCCAGUGAGCCCCACGCUACAUCCAGCGAGAACCGAGAAGUGAUGGUGCAGACAUUCUUGGGUCCCCCAGACAGAACACACCGGGAGUUACUGCCUCUUUCUCAUCCCGAGUCCUCCUGACUUUCCCCAGCACCCAUCGUGGCUGCAGCCAGGACACAGGUAAAUGUAAUUUCCCUCCCCUUCCAUCCUCGCUUUCACAUCGGUGUGAUUGACUGAGGGCCUGCAGACUCUCUCCACGUGCGGGUGCCCUGCAGCCUGACACACAAAUGCGUUCAUCCUUCCCCUUUAUCCUGACCCCGAACUAAUGACGCAGCUUCCUGAGACACAGAGGAUGCUUCUCCUCGUCCCCCCUCGCGCUCUGAAGUGGGAAAAGAUGUGUUCCAUCUGUUCUGGAAUUUUCACUGUAAAGAAGAGAAUGAAUUUUAACUGUGUUUUUGACAUAUCCCUAAACAAGAAGUGGUUUAUAGAGUGAAACCAUUUUCCCUUCAUCUAAAAUUUAAAAAAAAAAAAAAAGAGAGAGAAAAGUGCAAGACUGAAGAUGUGUGUUGAGCGGGGUGAGGAAGCGUGGGGGACUCGGCGCUGGAGGAGCCCCGGGUGUGUUUAGGGUUUGUGGUCAGGGGCCCUGGGCACCAGGUCCAGUCUGAAGCACCCGGGGGGAUGGACGAUGUUUGUGUAAGAGAGGGACAAAGGGAUGGCAGGGUGGCCAAGCAGAGACGCGAUUCCCUCUGUGCCCUUCCUGGACCAGCUUUGUAUUCUAACAGCAACGUCUCUGUUCUUGGGAAGAGCUCCUCGGUGAUUACCUGCCCGCCCCUUGUCUCCUCUUAUUCCCGCUGCCACAGGGCAGGGCCGCCCAGCUCCAGCUCAGACACACACCUGCUCCAACUGCUGUGCUGGUCACAGGCCCAGAGCACCACGUGUCCUCUGGGGUCUGUGUGGUCGGCGCCGUGCGUGGGACCACUGUGAGUGACCCUCCUCUUGUGUCACAGAGCCACUGUACCCGUGUGCACCUGUGCUCUGAGACCUGGAUACCCCUGGAAGGACAGACACCGAGGACCCGAGUGCACUGGAGUCCCGCUCCCACAGAUCCUGCUGCUGGGAGAACUGUCAGCCAGGAACGGGACUGCGGUGGGGAAUUCCUUCUGUCAACACACUUUCUAAUCUAAGCUCCAGACUCCACUUCCAGACUAGCACAGGCUUUUUCCCCCACAUCUCCUUCUCUGCAGCCGGGGCUCCUGCCGGGUCUGCGGAGCCCAGAGCCAUGCUCUCUGCCGACUCCAUCUCCAGAUGCCUGCCCCGGCACCCACGCUGUUGCCAGGACACCAGUGAACCCAGACAGGGUGAGCAGGUUGCAGCAGGGUACCGGGAGGAAUGCCCGGCUGGCCCAUGUCUUGAAAUCAGUCUCAUUGAACAAUCCGGGAAAGAGAUGACCUAGCCUAUUCUAAGGCUAUCGAUGUGAAUUGGAUUCUUCCAUUUCCCCUGAAUUCUCUGAUUAAAAUGAUAAUUAUGCAAUA
rnacentral:lncRNA from 1 species